GGACCUUUAGCUCAAUCGGUAGAGCUUUGUACUUAUGAGGUUGCCUUGGCCUGCCUAUACAUGCAAGGGUCCCGAGUUCGAUUCUCGGAAGGUCCA